GGAGGUUUUUCUUAUGAGGGACUUGAGCUGCUCCGUCUGCUUUCUGGAUCCCUUCAUCUUGUCUGGACGCUGGCAUCGAGAUGUUGUGAAAUUCCAAGGGGACGACGUGCUGAUCAGAAUGAUUAAACGACGACGUAGAGAAGAUGGUUUUCUACAACGGCUCUG
rnacentral:lncRNA from 1 species